GGUCGAUUAGCUCAGUUGGUUAGAGCGUGGUGCUAAUAACUUCUCAUUUGAGAAAUGAUAACGCCAAGGCCAUGGGUUCGACCCCCAUAUUGACCA